UGGCUCAGGCAGGGUGGGGGCGGGAGGAGGAAGGGAAGGAUGCAGGCUCGACCCCCUCCUUUCCCUCUUGCCCUCCAUCCGCGAAAGUCUGCAGCAGUGUGGGAUUAAACAGAUCAACAGAAACCCGUGAAGAACCCCCUCCCUUUCCGCCCUUUCUUCUUCGUCACACCACCGCCCCCUCCUCUGCAGGAGGCUUGUCAUUCCUCCAGAAAGGGGAGGUGCCUUGAUCCACAUCUGGGAACAGCUGGCCCACAGUCUCUUGACCCUUGAUCCUACCCUGGCUUCGAGGGGAGGAGAAAUGGGGGAAGAAGGCCUUCAGGCUGCCACAGCACCGACAUCCAGCCCCCUUUGCAUACAUGGCCUUGGGAGCGGGUGGUAGGACAGAUGCAGGGCCCACAGUACAGAUGUGGCCAGCAGAGGGAAGAAGGGAUCAGCUUUGCAGGCCCCUUUGCACUCUUUAAAUGGUCCAUAGCGUCUCAGAUCUAGCUUGAUGGUCAAGGUAGCUUGAAGGCCUUCACCCAGGAAUGUCACAGGCCUCAGCUUCUUCAUACCCAGUGCAGGUGGCCUUAAACCUCUCUCCUGAGGGUAACUUGUCUCCUAAUGUAGUUGGGGUUGAGAAUGAAGCUCUCAAGGCAGGGCAUAUACUUGAUACCCAAGGGGAAAGGCCCCUGAAGGCACCCCUCCCCCCAGGAGCCUGGGAAUACUUCACUGCCUGCUUUACCCUGCUGUAUCCGAGAGUAUAAAUGUGAGUGACUCCCAUACAACACUCAGAUGUUAUGCUCACUACCUGGAGAUUCAGCUAACUCUGGCUGCCCCUAAGCUAUGGUCUGGGUAAGGCCAAUGGGGAAGAAAAGAUCUGGCCUUGCUCCUCCUAGCUCUUUGUAAAGGUGGGGGGGCGGGACCCCCACCAUGACUGAGUACUGAGGGCGGAGCCAGCCACCACAAAGACUGCAAUUGUGAGUGAGGCCUGGUGCACAAUGGAACGGGCUGGGCCCUCCACAUGGAAAUGAGGCCAAAGCCCCUUUUUCUCCCUCCUCUGUCUGGCUUCUUCCUCCUCCUUCUCCUCCUCUUUGGUCUUAGAGAGCACCGUGGACAGAGCUCAAAUGAAAUCACUGGAAGUGAAACUCAGCUUGGUCCAGGGUCCCUCAGAAGCUCCACCAAGGCCUUCAACAUUGCUUAGCCUUGGAAAGGCCAGACACCCUCCCUCCAGACUGUGCAAAAUGCUCCUGGGAGACCCUGACAUGGCUUGGAAUCUUCAGAAGUCACUGCACUGACAGACAGAUCACAUGAGAAUAACAGACUCAGUUGGAAGAGGCACUACUGGCAAGGAUCAAAAUGUCCCAUGCAGUCCCAGAAAGUGAAGUCUGUGUGGCUAAUAGACAAGUGGGUCUCCAGGCCCCUUGGAGGAAGAGCAGGCAAGCCUAAAAUUUUAUGCCUGAGAGCUCCACUGACAUGUACUGGAAGGCAAAGGCAUUUAUCACCCAGUGUCACAUGGCAGGGUCAUAAACAGUUAAUCUUCAGCAAAGCGCAGAAGGAAGCAUUGUUGGAUACCCCUUCCAACAGAAAGAAUACAUUAGGCUUAACUACCAGGUGCAUCUUUAAAUGCUGGUUACUACUCACAUUGCCGCACAGACCCGUCUGUGAAGGUAGUGGGUGGAGAUGCUGGGUGGUAUCACCGGCUUCAGAAUUGCAUCCCCCAGAGUGCCUCUCUGGAGACUAGAAGAGGGGAUCCUUGAGGCUGGUCAUUCUUGCCCCAGCUUUUUAUGUGGUCUGCAUGGGAGCAGCCACAGGCUAGGCUUCCCUUUUUGCUUGGAUUUCUAACCAGACCCUCUUCCUACAAUGCUAAACUGAUUGUUUGCUUCUGCAAGGGUUGCACCCAAACAGCUAUGGUCUGGGCCCCUCAUCACCUGAGACUUGAGUCUGAGAAUGGCAUGCGGUGCCUCAGCCAUCUCAGAACAAACAUAUCUGGGAGCUAUGGCACUUUUGACUUUCCUAGUGGCCUCUACCUCUUGUCAUGAUCUCUGCAUAGCUCCAGGCAUACCUUGUCCCAGUUGUGAGCUCCUAUUUAUGGCUAUUCCUGCAAAUACUGUUGCAUGAUAUGUAUUUUGCAUGUUUUGUAAGAAACAACCUCUGAGUUUAUUUUUCCAAAAUAAAGAUGGAGACAGUAAA